UACAGAGGGGGCAAGCGUUGUUCGGAAUUACUGGGCGUAAAGGGCGCGUAGGCGGCCCGCUAAGUCGAACGUGAAAUCCCUCGGCUCAACCGGGGAACUGCGUCCGAUACUGGUGGGCUCGAAUCCGGGAGAGGGAUGUGGAAUUCCUGGUGUAGCGGUGAAAUGCGCAGAUAUCAGGAGGAACACCGGUGGCGAAGGCGGGUCUCUGGGCCGAUACUGACGCUGAGGAGCGAAGCGUGGGGAGCGAACAGG
rnacentral:rRNA from 1 species